CCUCCCGAUUGCACCCUGCUGUUAUGCAAUCAAGGGUGGGCUCUGGCUCAGGAUGCUGCCCUGGCACCUCUGCUGGCUUUGGGAAGGGAUUCAGCUUGAUGCCAACUCAUGGGUCUGCUUUGUGUGGAGCGUGCUGGGGUCCUGUCCCUGUCCGUCUUUGGCACUGCACCCAAUGGAGAACUCCAGUGUGCAGGGCUCACCUGGUUUCCCAAGUUGUGACAUCCUCAACCAACAGAGGAAGUGUUUGAUAGGGCAAAUCUGGGCAAAAACAUCCUUGUCACUGGUUUUUCAUCUUUUGGAAACCAGUAUCCUAAAGCAGACCCAGGCAUGUUGGCUUUCCAGGUAGGACACGUUGGCCUUGCUAUGGAGGUCUGCCACAUCCCCACCCUCUGUCUCUACCUCUUCCUGGGGAGAGUAAGGCUUGGCCUUGUCUGUGCAGGGCAAGAGCUCUGCAUGUUCUUUAAGAGGAAAUAUGUGUGGGUGCUUUGCUGUUGUGUUCAGCCUUGCUGCUCUGCUCCCCUGCUGUGGAAUACUGAGGAUCCCAAGCAGGAGUUCAUUCUGAAGAGUGGGGUUGUUGGAAAUGGAACUGUAUGAAAGCCUAAAGUCAGAGAUAACUGAAUUGUUUGUGUGGGAUGAGACAUUAACUUGCUUUCCUUUAUUCUAAUUAAAGCAAUGAUUUUGUUUUAUUCGGGGCCACAGGAAGACUUUCUCACCCGCUCAUAGGACAAGCUGAGGAGCUGGAGCAGGACAGCGGCUCUGGGGUUUGUGCUUGGCCACAAUAAACACAGGCUGAAGUAUGGCACACAGUCUGGGCUGAAACCUUUGGUGUUGAACUGAAGUCUGACACGGUUUGUGCUUUGCAAAACAAAUCCCUAAGGAUGAAGAUUUCCAAGAGUCAGACCUGCAGCCCUGAGGAUUCUUGCAUUCCAUACCCAGCUCCCCAUUGGGGUGCUCUGCUCUACAGGAGACAGUCAGGGUCGCAUACAGGAACAGCAUGGCUAGUUGCUUCAUUUUGUUCUCUACACGCCACACAACAAGGCAUUUGGCUGUGGAAUGGGGAGCAAGGAAGAAGUGCUGCAUGCUUUGAGGUUAUAGCUGCAUUUUGCCUUUCAGUAAAGGAGCUUCUGAGCUUAUGUACAUCGUGCUCUGAGAGGAGGGGUUCUGCCUGGGUUCCCUCAAGUCUUCAUCAUUCAUGAUGGAAAGAAUAUUUUUCACUGAAGGAUUCCUGUGAAAAAAGAAAAAAAAAAAAUAAGCUGUUACAUGGUAGCACCUUUACAACAGUUCUAGAAGUGAUUUUAUCAGUUUGGUUUUAUGCUCAGCUCUUUGAUAGCUACACUACAUUAUCCCAUUGCUUUUGGAGAUGUCUGUAGAUUUGCUUUCUGCUUCUGAUCAGAGUUGGUGGACGUUUCAGUUGGGAGGAAAGAUGUAAGCAUCCACCCACUGGUGUGUUCCAGAGGGCAAAAGUUGUCACAACCAAUAUUCCUUUGCAACAGUCUGCCUCUGAAACAUUAACAGCUGCUUAUAGCAUCAGGGAGCUCGGGUCCAAGUGCAUUGUGACAGGAACAGGAAACGCCAUCACCAAUCUUCUUGAACCACUGCAACAGUGAUUUGGAUAUUUUUUGUGAUGGGGAGGUAUGUUUCACCAAUAUGAAUCUCCACAGCUUGGGUAUACUUGGAAAUGUCUCCAUGGGUGUUUUCUACAGCAGUAGGUUACCAGUCCCCCAUGACAGCCCCAUCGAUUUCAUGUUACCCAACAACGGACACUUACAUACAACCUGGUCUGCCCGAACCUUCCAAGGAGAGCACGUAUCAUCCUGCACAUGUAGGGCAGAAAAAAAAUGAUAUGCUUGCAACACUGAUCAAGGAUUGCUUCUGUAGAAUACUGCAAGAGGUUGCAAUCAAUCAGAUUUUGUUGGAACGAGCAAGCAGGAAGAGCGAUAACGCGUUCGUAAUGCGUCAGCAAGAAUUGUAAUCAACAGUAACAUAAAUUUAUAGGCCUUGUAUAGGAUUUAAUCAAAUUAUUUUGAAGAUUACGGCUCAAUGGCUCUUGGUAAGGGAUAAAGGCAGCAGUUCCGGGAAUGCAAACGCAAUAUUUGUCUUGCAGAGAUGUUUUAAAUGCUAAGCAACAGGCCACCUUAAAAUUGGUUUUGUGACUCUUCUACUCAAGCAGCUGGCAUUUGCAGC